rnacentral:sRNA from 1 species
AAAAACCUUGUGAUUCUGUUAUUAUUCCUGAUGGAACAACAUCUGCAUAUCAGUACCAAGAAAAUAUAAAGAAUUUUCUUGUGGCUGUGGAGGAAAUGGGGCUUCCUACCUUCGAAGUUUCUGAUUUGGAACAGGGAGGAAACUCUGAGAGGGUAGUGGAUUGUGUUCUAGAGCUAAAGUCUUAUGCCGAACGAAAAGUUGGAGGAAGUGCAUCUGGGAAAUAUAGUGGGGUUGCGAAU